CUACGGAGGAUCCGAGCGUUAUCCGGAUUUAUUGGGUUUAAAGGGUGCGCAGGCGGCCAUUUAAGUCAGCGGUUAAAUCGUGGGGCUCAACCCCAUUCUGCCGUUGAUACUGGGUGGCUUGAUUGCGGUCGAGGUUGGCGGAAUUCGUUGUGUAGCGGUGAAAUGCAUAGAUAUGACGAAGAACACCGAUUGCGUAGGCAGCUGACCAGACCGCAAAUGACGCUCAUGCACGAAAGUGCGGGGAUCGAACAGGAUUAGAUACCCUGGUAGUCCGCACAGUAAACGAUGAAUGCUUGUUUUCGGCGAUAUAAUGUCGGAGGCAAAGCGAAAGCGAUAAGUAUUCCACCUGGGGAGUACGCCGGCAACGGUGAAACUCAAAUGAAUUGACGGGG
rnacentral:rRNA from 1 species